UGCCAGCAGCCGCGGUAAUACGGAGACUGCGAGCGUUACUCGGAUUCACUGGGCGUAAAGGGUGCGUAGGUUGUUUGGUAUGUCAGGUGUGAAAUCCCGGGGCUUAACUCCGGAACUGCGCCUGAAACUACCGAACUUGAGUAUAGGAGGGGAUAGCAGAAUUUCUGGUGUAGCGGUGAAAUGCGUAGAUAUCAGGAGGAACACCGAUGGCGAAGGCAUCUCUCUGGACAGAUAUUGACGCUGAGGCGCGAAGGCGUGGGUAGCGAACAGGAUUAGAUA
rnacentral:rRNA from 1 species